UACAGAGGUCUCAAGCGUUGUUCGGAUUCAUUGGGCGUAAAGGGUGCGUAGGCGGCGCGGUAAGUCGGGGUGUGAAAUCUCGGAGCUUAACUCCGAAACUGCAUUCGAUACUGCCGUGCUUGAGGACUGGAGAGGAGACUGGAAUUUACGGUGUAGCGGUGAAAUGCGUAGAUAUCGUAAGGAAGACCAGUGGCGAAGGCGGGUCU
rnacentral:rRNA from 1 species